rnacentral:rRNA from 1 species
AGCGAACGCUAGCGGCGGGCUUAACACAUGCAAGUCGAGCGCGUGGCUUCGGCCACGAGUGGCGAACGGGUGAGUAAUGCAUCGGAACGUGCCCAAUCGUGGGGGAUAACGUAGCGAAAGUUACGCUAAUACCGCAUAAGCCCUGAGGGGGAAAGUGGGGGACCGCAAGGCCUCACGCGAAUGGAGCGGCCGAUGUCAGAUUAGCUAGUUGGUGGGGUAAAGGCCCACCAAGGCGACGAUCUGUAGCGGGUCUGAGAGGAUGAUCCGCCACACUGGGACUGAGACACGGCCCAGACUCCUACGGGAGGCAGCAGUGGGGAAUUUUGGACAAUGGGCGCAAGCCUGAUCCAGCCAUGCCGCGUGCGGGACGAAGGCC